CAAGCUUGAAGUGAGCCUCAAUGAGACUUCAAACCGGGAGCGCAUCACUACCUACAGCUGCGCUUAACCCAACCGAUCUGCCAUUGCCUUCAGCUCCAAUGCCUUCAGGUCAUCAGUCUCCCCAAGACUUAGGUGAUGACCUUUACUUGUGUGUCUCCAUGAACCAGGAGCACAUCACUAUCACUAGCUGCGCUAUCUCAACCGGCCAUACACACAAGUCUUUCUCCAUUGCUUUAACAAUGGCAAAGUCUUCCUCUUCUACUUGGAUGGAUGGUGAGCAAAGAACACUUCUUGUGAACCUGAAACACCACUCAAACUCCAGCAAAGAUAAGACACAAUUGCAUUGGGAUCAAUCCUUGACUUCAUCAAGUUUGAUCACCAAUGUCUCAAGCUUUAUAGCAUUAGAUAGAAUCAAAACAAUGUCAAGUUCUUAUCUAUGCAAGCAACCAUUCUCUAAUUACAAAGCAAGACCUUAUCAGAUUCAAGUCAACGUAUUUAGGCAAUUUUAAUCACUCCUUAAUCUGCAACUUAGACUUUGAUCUAAAUGCAACAAUACAAGGCAGCAACAAGGCAACAUGCAUUAAUCUUACUCAGUUUCUAACUCAUGAAAGCAAGCAUGAUUAGAUAACAUAAUCUAUCAUCUUAACAAGACAAGAUAAUUUAGAACUGACACUAAGCAUUUAACCAUUUUCAAUAGUAUUGAUGUCAAAUCUUGAUUAAUAAAUCAUCAAGUUUGAUUCCCAAUAUCACAAGCAAUGCAACAGAUAGACACAAGGCAUUAUCAAGUUCUAUUCUUUGCAAGCUAAAUCUCUAAGUACAAGCAAGAUCCUAACAGAUUCAAGACAACUUACUUAGGCACUCUUAAGAGCUUCUUUACUCAGCACUUAGACAUGAAUUUAAUGCUUCAAUGUAAGAUAGCCCCAAGACUAUAUGCAGCAGCUUUAAAUUCGGUUUCACUCCAUGUAUGCAAGUAGAUUUAAUUAAUCAUAACAAGCAUCACUAUGAACCGGAGCUAAGCAUAUUAAACAAUUUCAAUACCCAAACAAGACUUUUAAAGUAUCCUGGGACAGAUUCUAAAACAACUUCAGUUUAGCAAUCUUUUAAAACAAUCCUCAGGUUUCCAAUCACAUCACAACAUCACAAUCAGUCAACAACACAAGCUCAUUAUCAAGAUGGUUUAUAGAAUCGCUUACAACAAGGAACCAGGUUGAUUCCUUUUGCAUUUUAUGACACAGCCUUGGCUUUUGUUGUAUCUGAGAGUCUAGCUUGUCGCCAAUCUCUCUCUCUUCCAGUACAUAGCCACCAUCUUGUACCAAUAACUCAAAAGACUCCUCCUUUCCUCAUUCAUCAACCCGCCAACAGCUUUGGAUCUUCAUUUCUUGUAGCCGGAUAGAUGAGAGUUGCUUGAAGGGCAAGUAAAAGGAGUUUUGACUUGAAGACAUCUAGGCCUCUUCAUCCUCCUUUGCUUCCAUCAACCUCUUCAUCAGGUACUGAUAUGACUGGCUGAAAGACGGGAUGAGGUACCAAGAGACUCGCCAAGCUUCAGCCUUUCUUGUUCACAAGAAACUGAACGGAUGGAGAGGUCUUACAGGAGUGAUUCUCCACUACUUUAUGUAUUCAAAUGAAGGUUCUUACAUCGCGAUUCAUCCUGGUUUGAUUAGAAUGACGAAGAAGUUUUCAUAUUCCCAAACAGGGAAACUGGGAUCACCUUAUUUGAAAGUGGGAUAACUUCUUCAUCCUAACUCCUAUGAGAUUUAUAUGAUUUUUAUAGAGAUCUUUACUCUGAUUGUAUGUGUGUGUGUAUAAACUCAAAUAGAGAAAGAUUAGAGCUUGUUCUAGGUAAUUUAGAAAGAGGGAUUAAUGAGAGUGUAUAAAAGACUUAGGAACAAAGAUUAAGAGACUAGAGAGACUGAGAGAAUAAGAGACUAGAGAUUGGUGUUUAGAUUCAAGAACAAGACUUAGUUUCAUGAAGGAGAAGGGAAACCCCCUUACUCACUUAAUUCUUUACAAUCGCCAAUGCUUGGCUUAUAUAUGGCUCUACACUUUGCACAAUCAUAAACCUAUAUCCUAAGGCUGAUAUUAACUUGAGUGAUGGACGGCCUGGAUGAGGGGAGACUGGUCUUUGGUCUUGGCAGCUUGUCUUGUAAUUGGUUGAUUCAAACUGAGGCAAAAGGAGACUGAAGGCGCCAAUGUAUCUUGCUCGUCUUUGGUCUUGGCAGCUGGUCUUGUAAUUGGUUGAUUCAAACUGAGGCAAAAGGAGACUGAAGGCGCCAAUGUAUCUUGCUCCUUAUGUGACCAGAUUCAUGCUUCUCCUUUUGCCUUUGCCUUUUGCUUUUGGUUUUACUUUACAGCUAGCUUCUUAUCCACAGCUAGCUCCUUAUCCAGGUUUUACUUUACAGCUAGCUUCUUAUCCACAGCUAGCUCCUUAUCCACACAAGAUGCUCAGCAUAUUCCUUUUGCAUACAAACCACUCCAACGGAUUGAUUAAUGUAUCCACAUCACUUAUGAUCUCAUCCAUACUUCUUUAUUGCUUGUACUACAAGGCAACCUUGUACCACACGGUUCCUUGUGACUUAUACCCAAGUCUUGAUCAUAUGUGAUGUGUCAACCUCUUCUCCAUAGCUUAACCAUCCCAAGACCUGAUAGAACUCAUUUGGAUCACCCAUGUCCUUGCCUGGCCGUACCAUCCGUACCAUCGGUACCAUCGGCCGUACAUGGUCAUCCCUAUCUUUGCACUAUCAACCUUUCUCUCCNNNNNNNNNNNNNNNNNNNNNNNNNNNNNNNNNNNNNNNNNNNNNNNNNNNNNNNNNNNNNNNNNNNNNNNNNNNNNNNNNNNNNNNNNNNNNNNNNNNNNNNNNNNNNNNNNNNNNNNNNNNNNNNNNNNNNNNNNNNNNNNNNNNNNNNNNNNNNNNNNNNNNNNNNNNNGGUUUGAAGUCUCCCCCUCUCAACUGACUUCUCAGCCAUCUUAGAGAUGCUAGGACACAACCAGAUCAUCUUCAAAACACUAGUGAGGCUGAUCAAUACUUCACACCCGGCUUGCCCUCUUCAUAGACUAGAUUUAUGGUCUCCCCCUCUCAACAGACUUCACAGCCCCUUUAGAGAAGCUAGGAGAAUACCCGGAACUGUUUAAUGAGGCUACAAGCAAUGGUACCUGAUACAUUAUCCCAAAGGUGCAUCAGUACCUAUCAAAACCAAGAAAAUGAAUAUCCUGCACCACACUUGAUGCACACAAUCCCACAAUUCAAUCAUAAUCAUCUUAAGUUUCUUUUCAAGCACAAGCAAUGAAUAAGAUGAAUGAAAAAGAUUGAAAAGAGUUUUAAAAGUCUAAGGGAACUUCCCUUGUGUUUUUAAUGAGUUUCCUAACUCGGCCAAUGCACCAUCUUCAUGGCAUCAUCAACUUCUUGGAAAGGCAGAAUAGUUUCAUCAGCUUCUCCUCAAACACCUCUCAUUGAAGCCGCAUUGAUGGAAAGACUUGGUACUGACCAUGGAUCAUAUGCAUUAAGACUCCCCCUCAAGCUUAGAACCAAGACUAGAAGGAGCUAAGCUUGUGAUGAUCCUAUGCAUCUCCAUGGUCUAAUAACUAUCAUCUUUUAUGAUAGCUUUCUUCUUGUGAGUUUUCUCUCUUCCUUAACCAGGAAUUAGGGUGUUUGAAUCACCAUAGAGAGUCUCACAAGACACAUCUCUCAUUGCAUAAUGACCCAUGCUACACUUCCUGUAGAAUAAGGACUAGAUAUGUCCAAUGGUAUUAUGCAAUGGCACAAGACCUUUGUCUUUACAUUCUUGGUUGUUGGUGAGUUACAUGUAUCACAUUCCUUGUGUACCUAACACCACCACAACUCAAUGCAAGAUCAGAUCAUCCCAUUGGGAUCAACCUAAGAUCAUCCAUCAUGUUUGAUCACCAAUGCCACAACAAUAUAUAAACCUUGUUCUUGCCAAAGCAGUUUUAAAUCUCUAAAAUGACAAUGCAAGCUUUAAACAAUACACUGACAAUUUAGGCUCAUUUUUAAAUGCAUCAGUACAUGAAUGCACAAUCUUAAGGCAUUAGCAAUAUGAAUGCAUCAGGUUCAAUCCGAGAGCAAUAUUAAAGCUAUGCACAACAGUUCCAAUCAAUACCAAUGAUGCAAGCAACUUAGACAGUUUCUAAUUGAUGCAAGACAAUCAAUGAUGGAUUAAACAUAUGCAAUAGCAUCAGACAACAAUAGGAUUGAACUUAGACAGUAUGAGACAUGCUUAUGUAUGCAAAACAGCUUAUCAAUCAUGAUGCAAGCAGCAGAGACAUUCUACUCAAUUCUACAACACAUUCAUGAUGAUUUCAAGCUAUGGCAAUACACAAGACAAUGCAAUGAACAUAACAUGAGAUUUUGGGACUCUAGACAUUACUUAAUAUCAAUAAGACAAUGCAGCAGCAAAAUAUUUCCAGUGCAAUUAGCCUAGACAUUCUACUAGAAGCUACAAACUCUAUAUUAAAAAGAAUAGAUGAGACUAGGUUUACUCCCUUGUUUAAGAUGGUGAGGAGUGGUCUCUUCAUUUUGCCACUUGAGUCCUUACUUGCUAUGCUUAACAGCUUCUCCUUUCAUCACACAAGCUCACUCCUCUCAAGCUUGAGACCAAGUAUAGGGAAGGUCCAAGCUUGAAGGUGAGCGCUUACUAAGCUUCAUGAACAACCUUGUGGGAACACCUCCAUCUUCUUCAGACUUGAUGCUUACUUCCCCACUUAACCACCAUUGCACUGAGGAGAUACCUCAGCUUACUCUCCAAGUACUUCUUAUUAGAAGCUCAUUGAGUCGCUUUCUUCUUCCCUCUACUUCGGCUGCAUCUACACAUGAUCAGCUUGCAAUGGCCUUGAGGAACCAGGUCAUUGAGCUUAGAGGAUCUUCUGGUAGCUCACUUGAAUCCACACCUCAAGCUUGACUUAGUAUAGGUGCAAGCUUGAAGUGAGCCUCAAUGAGACUUCAAACCGGGAGCGCAUCACUACCUACAGCUGCACUUAACCCAACCGAUCUGCCAUUGCCUUCAGGUCAUCAGUCUCCCCAAGACUUAGGUGAUGACCUUUACUUGUGUGUCUCCAUGAACCAGGAGCACAUCACUAUCACUAGCUGCGCUAUCUCAACCGGCCAUACACACAAGUCUUUCUCCAUUGCUUUAACAAUGGCAAAGUCUUCCUCUUCUACUUGGAUGGAUGGUGAGCAAAGAACACUUCUUGUGAACCUGAAACACCACU
rnacentral:lncRNA from 1 species